AUCCCAGUGAGGAAGAACCUGCAGCAUCCCUUGGUCAUCUGAUGUCACUCAUUGACUGUACACUGCUAAGCAAAGCAUGCUGUUUGCUGGAAAACACUCUCAGCUUGGGAAUUUGCUCUUUCCACUGAGACACAUCACAACCCAACAGAAGCUGUCUUGAAAGAGAUAAGGCACUUCUAAGAACAAGAACAAACUCUGACCAAGGGCAAGCAAUUUCUGGGGGAAGAAGCUGAGUGAAUGGCUUCUGCAGGGGAAGCACUGGCAUUGAUUACUGGGGCCAUAUGUGUUCAAAAACCACGUCUGUACAGCAGAAAUGGCCAGGAUGAGAGAGAACAAGAGAGAUUCAACCUCAAACCUUGGCGAAGAAGCAUAAGAAAGGAAAGUUGCAAAGUUGUCUAA
rnacentral:lncRNA from 1 species